rnacentral:miRNA from 14 species
CGCCACUGGAUUGCGCAAUUAG